rnacentral:rRNA from 1 species
CUGAGGCUAAUAGUGUAUAACCAUACCACCACUGGAAUGAGUGGUAUGCCAAACGCUCCGGCGCCGAAGGAUGUGGCUGCGGCCGAUUAGGUAGACGGUGGGGUAACGGCCCACCGUGCCAAUAAUCGGUAUGGGUCAUGAGAGUGAGAACCCAGAGACGGAAUCUGAGACAAGAUUCCGGGCCCUACGGGGCGCAGCAGGCGCGAAACCUUUACACUGCACGACAGUGCGAUAGGGGGAUCCCAAGUGCACAGGCAUAGCGCCUGUGCUUUUCGGUACCCUAAGGCGGUACCAGAAUAAGGGCUGGGCAAGACCGGUGCCAGCCGCCGCGGUAAUACCGGCAGCCCAAGUGAUGGCCGAUCUUAUUGGGCCUAAAGCGUCCGUAGCUGGCCGCGCAAGUCCAUCGGGAAAUCCACCUGCUCAACAGGUGGGCGCCCGGUAGAAACUGCGUGGCUUGGGACCGGAAGGCGCGACGGGUACGUCCGGGGUAGGAGUGAAAUCCCGUAAUCCUGGACGGACCGCCGAUGGCGAAAGCACGUCGCGAGAACGGAUCCGACAGUGAGGGACGAAAGCCAGGGUCUCGAACCGGAUUAGAUACCCGGGUAGUCCUGGCCGUAAACAAUGUCUGCUAGGUGUGGCUCCCACUACGAGUGGGUGCUGUGCCGUAGGGAAGCCGCUAAGCAGACCGCCUGGGAAGUACGUCCGCAAGGAUGAAACUUAAAGGAAUUGGCGGGGGAGCACUACAACCGGAGGAGCCUGCGGUUUAAUUGGACUCAACGCCGGACAUCUCACCAGCAUCGACUGUAAUAAUGACGAUCAGGUUGAUGACCUUAUCCGAGUUUCAGAGAGGAGGUGCAUGGCCGCCGUCAGCUCGUACCGUGAGGCGUCCUGUUAAGUCAGGCAACGAGCGAGACCCGCACCCUUACUUGCCAGCAGUACCGCGAGGUAGCUGGGGACAGUAGGGGGACCGCCGUGGCUAACACGGAGGAAGGAACGGGCAACGGUAGGUCAGUAUGCCCCGAAUGUGCUGGGCAACACGCGGGCUACAAUGGUCGAGACAAAGGGUUCCAACUCCGAAAGGAGACGGUAAUCUCAGAAACUCGAUCGUAGUUCGGAUUGUGGGCUGCAACUCGCC